GCUGUAGCUCAGCGGUAGAGCAUCUGUUUUGUAUGCCAAAGUCCCCAGGUUCAGCCCCUGGCAUCUCCA